GGCGGGAGGCUGGAAGGGGCCGAUCCCACCGGGUUUCCGGGAGCGGGGAGGCAUGGAGCCGUCGCUGGCCGGGGCGGCAGAGGGAGGCGGCCGCUUCCUUGCCGGCGAGCACCAGCACGUUCGGUACAACCCGCUGCGGGACGACUGGGUGCUGGUGUCGGCCCACCGGGUAAAGCGCCCUUGGCAGGGUCAGCUUGAGAAACCGCCCCCUGAGGAUGUGCCCCGCUGGGACCCCAAGAACCCCCUUUGCCCCGGGGCCACCCGGGCCAACGGCGAGGUGAACCCCAAGUACGAGGGUACUUUCGUCUUCCCAAAUGACUUUCCUGCACUGCAGCCUGAUGCUCCAGAGCCUGAUGACAGUGAUCACCCCUUGUUUCGAGCUGCCCCAGCCCGGGGUGUAUGCAAGGUGAUGUGUUUCCACCCCUGGUCAGACCUGACGCUGCCCCUCAUGUCCCUGCCAGAGAUCCGAGCUGUCAUCGAUGCGUGGGCAGAGCUGACGACAGAGCUGGGUGCUUCCUACCCCUGGGUGCAGAUCUUCGAGAACAAGGGAGCGAUGAUGGGCUGCUCCAACCCACAUCCCCACUGCCAGGUGUGGGCCAGCAGCUUUCUCCCGAACGAGGCACAUCUGGAGGACCGGACCCAGCGCCAGCACCUGAGCCAGCACGGUGUGCCCAUGCUGCUAGAGUACGCUGAGCAGGAGGCUUGCCGAAAGGAACGGCUGGUGGUGGAAAAUGCAGAUUGGUUGGUCGUGGUGCCAUACUGGGCUACCUGGCCCUACCAGACCCUGCUGCUGCCCCGCCGCCAUGUCUGUCGCCUCCAGGACCUCAGUGAGAGUGAGAAGGACAGCCUGGCCUCCAUUAUGCAGAGGCUUCUCAUCAAGUACGACAAUCUCUUUGAAGUCUCCUUCCCCUACUCCAUGGGCUGGCAUGGAGCCCCCACAGGCCCCUACCUGGAGGAGGACUGCAGGCACUGGCAGCUCCAUGCCCACUACUACCCUCCGCUGCUGCGCUCUGCCACCAUACGCAAGUUCAUGGUGGGAUACGAGAUGCUGGCGCAGGCGCAGAGGGACCUCACCCCAGAGCAGGCAGCUGAGCGCCUGAGGAACCUCCCCGAGGUGCACUACAAGAAGAGGGCUGAGGAGGUGUGAUGGGGAGCAGCAGAGCAUCUAGUCCUCGGAUGUGGUGUUCCUUAUCUCUUUCACCAUCCCAGGCUCUGAAUUCUGCCCCCAUGGCAUGCUCCUACCACCACUAAAGGGCUUACCCUCCUUACUAGUCCAGUCUCACUGGUGGGACUGGUAUGACUUCUGCCUCAUGGAGGGGCACAACCCCCCUGGACAAUAAAACCUGGAAGCAAAGUGCCUCUAUCUGUGCUCUCGUGGCUUUCAGCCCUAGGUGGGAGGUUUGGGGUCUCUGGUGAAGGCACCCAGCUGCUGGUGGGAGAUAACACGGGGCUCAGAGGUUGUGCUGGCAGUCCAGUACUUGUUGCUUGUGUUCCUGCUUCUGCGCUGCCUCCUCUUCCUCCCUGGGGGGAGCUCUGAGUCUGUCUGAGUGCUGCAGGCUUGUGGAGGAGUGGGAAACAGAGAAGGAAUGGAUGCAGCCCAAGGCUUAGCCAGCUCCUGGGAGAGCACUGAGCCCUGGCAGACUUGCUGCACAGAGGCUGCUGGCUGAGAUGCUCAGCCCUGGAGCUGUUCCUCUUCAUCCUCUCUGGCUGGGAGCCCUCAUGGUGCCUGCUGCAGGAAAGCUCUGGGACUCUGCAGGGGUAGGUGAUGGACACUGAUGCCACCACAGCUGAUGUGGGGGGAUGCCAAGCACUAUGAACCCUCACAUCUUCACAAAUAUUUUUAUUUUUCACUAAUGAGCCAUUCUCUAUGAGACCCCUCUCCUUGUCCAGUCAGUGAGUGUGCUCCUGGGGACUAGAAAGUCCCUGCUUGCAAGGAGAUAAAUGCUCUCCUCCUACCUCCAAGACAGCAUUUCAUGGAGAAGGCUGUGUUCCCUGUGCCCCAUCCAUGCGUUGCUCCCCAUGGGGCUAGGACAGAUGGAAGAGCCUCCUGGCCAGUGUGAUGUUGGCUGCCCUCCUACAUGCUGGUUCUAUCUUUCUGCUUGAUUGCCUCAUCCCAGAGCCCACAGACUGCCCUCACCUCUGCACUCCCCAGGUGCCCCGGGGCUAUGCGGAGGAGCUGGUGGCUGACCCUUGAGCUUGGAGCUGUCAUUGUGCAUAGCAUCCCUCACCAGGGCAUGGGGGCUGCCCAGCUGGGAAUCUGUCUUUUUGCAAAACUGAUUUCUCCGCUGCUGGGACAAGCAGAGUCCGUUUGGUCACUGCCACCAUCCCGAUCAUGAGCCCUUUCCACUGCAGCAUGUGCCUCUGCUCCAACUUCCCGUCUUCCCCGCUUUUUCUCCACGGUCCUGGGAAAGCGGCAACAAAUUGCCUUAAGUGUGGCAAUCCAGCACGGGGUGAUUAGCCGCUGAAGCGGCUGUAACGAAGCUAGUCAUCUCCCUGCACACGCAGUUAGCUCUGAUUUAAUGGCCCGGCGGCUCCCAGCCCCGGGCUGCCGCGCCUCGGCCCGCGGCCGUAAAUGAAACUCGCAGUUAAGUCAAGCGGUAUUAAACUUUACAGUCGCCGUCUCUAAAAACGGGACUCUCUCCAAUAAAUCACGGCAAGUGGGAUUGUAAAUAUCGGGGCAGGAUCCAUAUUGCUUAAUUAAACAGCACCUAAUGAACA